rnacentral:rRNA from 1 species
UACAGAGGUGGCAAGCGUUGUUCGGAAUUACUGGGCGUAAAGGGCGCGUAGGCGGUCUUGUCAGUCCCUUGUGAAAUCCCCCGGCUCAACUGGGGAACUGCACGGGAAACAGCAGGGGCUUGAGUUCGGGAGAGGGAAGCGGAAUUCCGGGUGUAGCGGUGAAAUGCGUAGAUAUCCGGAGGAACACCGGUGGCGAAGGCGGCUCUCUGGGACGGUACUGACGGCUGAGACGCGAAAGCGUGGGGAGCGAAACAGG